UAAAUUGCCAGACGGUCCUAAAAUUCUUGUCUUAAAUUUGCCUAAAACUGAAUGUAUCCAGUCAAGUUUCAGUAUUUAGAUACAUUCAUUUCUAGACAAACAUAAGACAAGAAUUUUGAGACGGAGGAAGUAC
rnacentral:pre_miRNA from 1 species